rnacentral:rRNA from 1 species
AGAGCGAACGCUGGCGGCAGGCCUAACACAUGCAAGUCGAGCGCCCGUAGCAAUACGGGAGCGGCAGACGGGAUAGUAACACGUGGGAACGCGCCCUUCGGUUCGGAAUAACUCAGGGAAACUUGAGCUAAUACCGAAUACGCCCUUACGGGGAAAGAUUUAUUGCCGAAGGAACGGCCCGCGUCCGAUUAGCUAGUUGGUGAGGUAAUGGCUCACCAAGGCUACGAUCGGUAGCUGGUCUGAGAGGAUGACCAGCAUCACUGGGACUGAGACACGGCCCAGACUCCUACGGGAGGCAGCAGUGGGGAAUAUUGGACAAUGGGCGCAAGCCUGAUCCAGCCAUGCCGCGUGGAUGAUGAAGGCCUUAGGGUUGUAAAGUCCUUUUAACGGGGAGAUAAUGACGGUACCCGUAGAAUAAGCCCCGGCUAACUUCGCGCCAGCAGCCGC